rnacentral:rRNA from 1 species
UACGUAGGGGGCUAGCGUUGUCCGGAAUCAUUGGGCGUAAAGCGCGUGUAGGCGGCCCGGUAAGUCCGCUGUAAAAGUCGGGGGCUCAACCCUCGGAAGCCGGUGGAUACUGUCGGGCUAGAGUACGGAAGAGGCGAGUGGAAUUCCUGGUGUAGCGGUGAAAUGCGCAGAUAUCAGGAGGAACACCGGUGGCGAAGGCGGCAUCCUGGGCCGGUAUUGACGCUGAGUGAGCGAAAGCCAGGGGAGCAAACGGG